GACAGAGGGUGCAAACGUUGUUCGGAAUUACUGGGCGUAAAGCGAGUGUAGGCGGUUUGGUAAGUCGGAUGUGAAAGCCCCGGGCUCAACCCGGGAAGUGCACUCGAUACUGCCAAGCUAGAGUAUCGGAGAGGUUGGUGGAAUUCUCGGUGUAGAGGUGAAAUUCGUAGAUAUCGAGAGGAACACCAGAGGCGAAAGCGAGUCACUGGACAGAACCUGACGCUGAGGCACGAAAGCUAGGGUAGCAAACGGG
rnacentral:rRNA from 1 species